UGGGGAAUAUUGCACAAUGGGCGCAAGCCUGAUGCAGCCAUGCCGCGUGUGUGAAGAAGGCCUUCGGGUUGUAAAGCACUUUCAGCGGGGAGGAAGGCGGUGAGGUUAAUAACCUCAUCGAUUGACGUUACCCGCAGAAGAAGCACCGGCUAACUCCAUGCCAGCAGCCGCGGUAAUACGGAGGGUGCAAGCGUUAAUCGGAAUUACUGGGCGUAAAGCGCACGCAGGCGGUCUGUCAAGUCGGAUGUGAAAUCCCCGGGCUCAACCUGGGAACUGCAUUCGAAACUGGCAGGCUAGAGUCUUGUAGAGGGGGGUAGAAUUCCAGGUGUAGCGGUGAAAUGCGUAGAGAUCUGGAGGAAUACCGGUGGCGAAGGCGGCCCCCUGGACAAAGACUGACGCUCAGGUGCGAAAGCGUGGGGAGCAAACAGG
rnacentral:rRNA from 1 species